rnacentral:rRNA from 1 species
AAAGGAAUUGACGGGGGCCCGCACAAGCGGUGGAGUAUGUGGUUUAAUUUGAUGCAACGCGAAGAACCUUACCUGGUCUUGACAUCCCGGAGACCCUUAGGAAACUAGGGGGUGCUUCCAUCUGGAAGAAUCUGGAGACAGGUGCUGCAUGGCUGUCGUCAGCUCGUGUCGUGAGAUGUUGGGUUAAGUCCCGCAACGAGCGCAACCCUUGCCUUUAGUUGCCAGCAGUUCGGCUGGGCACUCUAAAGGGACUGCCGGUGUUAAACCGGAGGAAGGUGGGGAUGACGUCAAGUCCUCAUGGCCUUUAUGACCAGGGCUACACACGUACUACAAUGGCCGAUACAAAGGGCAGCGACACUGCGAGGUGAAGCCAAUCCCGUAAAAUCGGUCUCAGUCCGGAUUGGAGUCUGCAACUCGACUCCAUGAAGUUGGAAUCGCUAGUAAUCGUGGAUCAGCAUGCCACGGUGAAUACGUUCCCGGGCCUU